rnacentral:misc_RNA from 1 species
AUUAUUAUUAUUAUUAUUAUUCAGCCUCAAUUCAGCAGUAAUAAACAAAAAACCAACUAAGAAGAUUGAUUUUCUUUUAAAGCGUUUACAAAGAGAUCAUAUGAAAAAGUCUUCAGUAAUUUUCAGGGAAACUCCAAUACCUUUGCAUUUCGUUCAUGCAAAUCCACAAUUAUGUUUCUUUGCAAGAAAGUGGCAUCACAACUGUUUAUCAACCGAGCAUAAGAGAUUAGCGCAACAAGAGUUCAAGAGGUACCGUUGAGCUUCAUACAAAAAGUUGGUCAUAAAUCAAAGCCAUGAAAUUGACAACUGUAUUCGUUUUACAUUUAAAAACAUUUUUAUAGCAACAAUGUUGUUGUUCAACUAGAAGCCUUCAAGAGUAUAUCAGCAUCGAAAUGAAGAGGAAAUCCAAUCCCCGCAGAGGUAACCAGCUGCAACAAUCUCACAAAGAUUGGGAAGUGAAAGCAAAAGGUAAGCAACCGCAUAAAGUGUCAUAGCAUGUCCCAUUACCAAAACACUCGUGGCAUUUCCAUGGGUCCAAAAACCUCAGUUAUAAGUAAACAAGCGACUGGGUGACAUUGACAAGGACCCCAUCAUGACAAUUAGUUAUCUCGAAUCGACCAUUCUGCAAUCAUGCUUCUUGCGACGACAUCUGUAAUGGGCCUUUUGAUCCAAAAAUGUGCUCUCGCCAACCAUCUCCAUUUUAGAAUCUAUACCUGGCACAGUUAAGGGGUACAACUGUAAGAAUCUUCAGCAAAAUCCCAUGUAGGAAAAUGCCUAAACAGUUAAACCUUAGCUUAUCAAGGUUGCCUCCCUUAAAAAUGAAGAAAGAUUAGAUACCUAAAAGGCAGGAAAAGCAGACACUUAAGGUGUGUUUACAUUUGGAGAGCUUUUCAGUUCUCUAGAAUUUCUUUACCCGAACAUUUUCGUGCCAUGGAAAAAGGUAAUAUUUAAUUG